rnacentral:lncRNA from 1 species
CUUUUCCUGAGGCGGUUGGCCGAAGGUGGCCCUCCUGACUCAUUCACUUUCCGUUUCUUCCCACAGAUACGUUCAUUAAUGCUUUUUCCAGCCGGAGACAAACUUUUUGGGGGUGGGGUAGGGGGGGUAUGGAGGGAGAGUUGGCUAGGGCUGCGGGUAACCCAGCGCCUACUGCCGGGGAAGACUCGGACGAAAACCGAGGCAAACCAACCAUUAAAAAGUGCAUCCAAUAAGAAUUUUUCCACUCAGGCCCUCCGCUGCCGAGACGCGGCAGACUCCCAGAGCGGCUCACCCACUCAUCGAAGCGGAUUCUGGGCGGUUUCGGGCUGACCCGCGCUGUCAGGGCGCGGACUCCAUUCCGGGCGCAUUGUUAGGAGAAGGGGCCCCUCGGGGCGGCGCGCCUCGACCCUGGGCUCCCGGUGCCCGCAGAGGGCGGAGAUCCGCGGCGCCCUAGGCCACCUAUCCGCAUCUUCUCGAGCCAAACCCCCAGCGCUUACCCGGACCCGACGGCCCAAGCACUGACUCCCAGGCAAGAGUCGCCCUUCCUGGUCCCCAGGGAACUGACACUACCGCGGGACGUUCCCUCUAGGACAGUCAGCAGGUCCCAGGAGCGCAGCACGCAACAGCGCAGAGCAGACCCAGACUUUUCCCGGGGUGAGACCCGGAGGCCCGCGCUCUGGACCGUCCUCCCUACCCAGCCUGGAGGCCGGCGUUCCCCGGCCCAACCCGGAGACCUCCCCGCCUCCCUCCUGGGCCGCCGCGCGCCCCAGUUGGAGCAGCCUCGAGGGGCUGGGCCCUUUCGGCCGGACUCCCUUCUCCCGGACAUCCAAAACAGGUUACCUUGUCCACGCUCUCCGGACCACGCUUUGGACUUGCUCACUUUUAUUUAAGAGUCCGACGGGGGAAAGAGGGAAAAAAAAUCCAGAGGAGAUCCAAGUCAAUUGGAAGAAAAAAUUUCAAAAGGGUGUCCACAGAGGCGAAAAAAGCCCAGGCUCUACCGACCUUCAAACUACAACAGAGCUUUCAGGAGAAUGCGGAGAGACGGCUUCCCACCCGGACCUCACCAGAAACCCGCACACCCCAGCCACAUUGCUCCUCAUUCAGCCAGAAAGGACUCCAACUCCACCACCAGGAGGCCCCCCUUCCUGGUGCUGGCCAGUUGCAGAGGCUGUUCAUGGCAUCCCACAGCCCCCUGGGAGAAGCUCCUGUCCAUUCACAGAGGUCUCCACCCAGAAAGAAGACCCCACCUAACUCUGACUAGAUGCCUGCGGGAAUCUCGGAUUUCCUCCAUCCAGUGUUGGCAUGCCCGUAGGUCAGUUUGCCCCACUUUUAUGUAACUCAGGGUUUGAUGGUCAACUCCACUGCUACUGCUGCUUUUUUAAAUCCUGAAAGGGGAUGGGGGAAGCGCCCUAACCAAGCACAAUAGUAAACAAGUCUACCCUGUUUAAUGUGGUUACCACCAGACAUCUGGAAAGAUGGUUUGAUCCUGGCAGCUCACAUUGUUUUCACGAGCAGCCAAAGGGGAUAUUUUGAAUGUUUGCAUUGAGACAAAUUGAUAGAGAGCCUGCGGUGAGGGCCUACAAAUGAAAACUGUCUUGUGUUAGUGGGGCAGACCUCCCCUUCCCUCUCCUCUCCCUCCUCUCUUCUCUCCUUCCUCUUUCCUUAGUCUCUGGGCCCAGCUUGGGGAAGGCUGCCCCUGCCCACACACUUGUGCACACCCUCUUUCCUGGCUUACCAUGGCUCCAAUGGCCUCGCCCUUUCCCAGACUGGGCAGAGCUGCUGAACAGGAGCUGGUAUGAGUGCCAUCGGCGACAGCUCACUUUCCAGCAGCUCGGGGCUGGUUUUCAAGUCAGAGGCAGCUCACAGCCAAGGAAGCUCUUCCCAGUAUUUAAAACAAAAGCUACCAACUGGAGAAAAAAAUGUCCCAACAACAAAACAGCCCACCACAUGUUUCCAAGUCUGGGGUCACUUACAGAAACCGUGCACAUGGGCGUGAAUACUCAGGAAAUAUUUGGAUUUGGAGCAUUUUCAUUUGGAACGCUGGUGAGACGACUUGCCUCGCACCAUUCGCACUUGACAGUAUUUUCAAAGAUGCGGAAGUCCUGCUUCCCCCGGGAGGGGAGCGGCGGGUCGAAACGUGUCUUGGCUCGCUCAAUGUCAGCCCUUUUGACCCGGUCAAGACUUUCCAGACACGGGCUUCCCGGGCUUCUUCGGCCCCAGACUGGGUUUGGGGUGGGCG